GGGAGGCAGCAGUAAGGAAUAUUGGACAAUGGGUGAAAGCCUGAUCCAGCCAUCCCGCGUGAAGGAUGACGGUCCUAUGGAUUGUAAACUUCUUUUGUACAGGGAUAAACCUACUCUCGUGAGGGUAGCUGAAGGUACUGUACGAAUAAGCACCGGCUAACUCCGUGCCAGCAGCCGCGGUAAUACGGAGGGUGCAAGCGUUAUCCGGAUUUAUUGGGUUUAAAGGGUCCGUAGGCGGACCCGUAAGUCAGUGGUGAAAUCUCAUAGCUCAACUAUGAAACUGCCAUUGAUACUGCGGGUCUUGAGUAAAUUUGAAGUGGCUGGAAUAAGUAGUGUAGCGGUGAAAUGCAUAGAUAUUACUUAGAACACCAAUUGCGAAGGCAGGUCACUAAGAUUUAACUGACGCUGAUGGACGAAAGCGUGGGUAGCGAACAGGAUUAGAUACCCGAGUAGUCU
rnacentral:rRNA from 1 species